AGUGAACGCUGGCGGUAGGCCUAACACAUGCAAGUCGAACGGCAGCACAGUAAGAGCUUGCUCUUACGGGUGGCGAGUGGCGGACGGGUGAGGAAUACAUCGGAAUCUACUUUUUCGUGGGGGAUAACGUAGGGAAACUUACGCUAAUACCGCAUACGACCUACGGGUGAAAGCAGGGGAUCUUCGGACCUUGCGCGAUUGAAUGAGCCGAUGUCGGAUUAGCUAGUUGGCGGGGUAAAGGCCCACCAAGGCGACGAUCCGUAGCUGGUCUGAGAGGAUGAUCAGACACACUGGAACUGAGACACGGUCCAGACCCCUACGGGGGGCAGCAGUGGGGAAUAUUGGACAAUGGGCGCAAGCCUGAGCCAGCCAUACCGCGUGUGUGAAGAAGGCCUUCGGGUUGUAAAGCCCUUUUGUUGGGAAAGAAAAGCAGCAGGUUAAUACCCCGCUGUUCUGACGGUACCCAAAGAAUAAGCACCGGCUAACUUCGU
rnacentral:rRNA from 1 species